rnacentral:rRNA from 1 species
GAUGAACGCUGGCGGCGUGCCUAAUACAUGCAAGUCGAGCGAACAGACGAGGAGCUUGCUCCUCUGACGUUAGCGGCGGACGGGUGAGUAACACGUGGAUAACCUACCUAUAAGACUGGGAUAACUUCGGGAAACCGGAGCUAAUACCGGAUAAUAUAUUGAACCGCAGGGUUCAAUAGUGAAAGACGGUUUUGCUGUCCCUUAUAGAUGGAUCCGCGCCGCAUUAGCUAGUUGGUAAGGUAACGGCUUACCAAGGCAACGAUGCGUAGCCGACCUGAGAGGGUGAUCGGCCACACUGGAACUGAGACACGGUCCAGACUCCUACGGGAGGCAGCAGUAGGGAAUCUUCCGCAAUGGGCGAAAGCCUGAUGCAGCAAUGCCGCAUGAGUGAUGAAGGUCUUCGGAUCGUAAAACUCUGUUAUUAGGGAAGAACAAAUGUGUAAGUAACUAUGCACGUCUUGACGGUACCUACUCAGAAAGCCACGGCUAACUACGUG